rnacentral:rRNA from 1 species
CAGAACUGAUCGGGCUCGGCCCGAUCCUCCCACCCUUUGUGUACCUACCUCUGUUGCUUUGGCGGGCCGCGGUCCUCCGCGGCCGCCCCCCUCCCCGGGGGGGUGGCCAGCGCCCGCCAGAGGACCAUCAAACUCCAGUCAGUAAACGAUGCAGUCUGAAAAACAUUUAAUAAACUAAAACUUUCAACAACGGAUCUCUUGGUUCUGGCAUCGAUGAAGAACGCAGCGAAAUGCGAUAAGUAAUGUGAAUUGCAGAAUUCAGUGAAUCAUCGAAUCUUUGAACGCACAUUGCGCCCUUUGGUAUUCCGAAGGGCAUGCCUGUUCGAGCGUCAUUACAACCCUCAAGCUCUGCUUGGUAUUGGGCACCGUCCUUUGCGGGCGCGCCUCAAAGACCUCGGCGGUGGCGUCUUGCCUCAAGCGUAGUAGAACAUACAUCUCGCUUCGGAGCGCAGGGCGUCGCCCGCCGGACGAACCUUCUGAACUUUUCUCAAGGUUGACCUCGGAUCAGGUAGGGAUACCCGCUGAACUUAAGCAUAUCAUAAGACCGGAGGAA